GAUCAUGACUCAGAUUGAACGCUGGCGGCAGGCCUAACACAUGCAAGUCGAACGGUAACAGGAAGAAGCUUGCUUCUUUGCUGACGAGUGGCGGACGGGUGAGUAAUGUCUGGGAAACUGCCUGAUGGAGGGGGAUAACUACUGGAAACGGUAGCUAAUACCGCAUAACGUCGCAAGACCAAAAGAGGGGGGACCCUUCGGGCCUCUUGCCAUCGGAUGUGCCCAGAUGGGAUUAGCUAGUAGGUGGGG
rnacentral:rRNA from 1 species